UACUGAUUGUAGAUUAAAAGUCAAAAGAAUUUCUGAGUUUUUGUAUAGUAUUGAGUACUAUGAUAUUAUCUCUCUUAAAAUAUGUUUUUCUUUAUCCAUAAUACAGAGGAAUCAAAAAAAUAUGUUAGAACUUGGAUGUGAAGUUGCACAAAUGUGUGAAGCAAAUUAAGGUGACAAGGAAGAAACAAGAAAAUGUUCAAAUUAAAUCUACCUUUCAAAGCAGAACUGGAGCUAACUUAAGACCAAGAGCUCUGGAGACAAGGUGACCACACUUGGGGAUUGUCAUAGUUUGAGUAAUUCCUCUGGGCUCUGCCACCCAGCAAGUUAAAGAGGACAAGAUUCCUCCCAGGGGAUUGUGGUUCUGGGAAUGUGAGCAGCUUGUUUUCAUGAGAUCUGCACCCUGACCUGGCCUGGUAGGAGCUGUGUGUGAUGGUCUCGUUGUUUGUAGUUGCUUCUUCCAGCUUACACAGUUAUUUGUAUAUAAAGAUUUAUGAAAAGUGAAGCUUUUACCAGGAUGUUUUGCUUAUACAAAG
rnacentral:lncRNA from 1 species